rnacentral:rRNA from 1 species
CACUAGGACAAACUUUACUCUUAGCAGUACCUGCCCAGUGCAAAGUUGUAAACGGCCGCCCUAGCGUGAGGGUGCCAAGGUAGCGAAAUUCCUUGCCUUUUAAUUGUAGGCCUGCAUGAAUGGAUUGACGAGGGUCAAACUGUCUCUUGCUUUGUAUGACGAAAUUGGACUGAAGGUGAAGAUACCUUCAUGUAAAAGUUAGACAAGAAGACCCCGUGCAGCUUUUAAAAACUUACUUAUUAAGAGUUAUAAGAUUUUUAGGUGGGGCGCCUAGGAAGUAAAACUUAACCUUCUUAUUUGAUAAAAGUAACUGUCUGGUGUAGACCCGGCAAGUCCGAUCAUGGGAGAAGUUACGCCGGGGAUAACAGGCUUAUCCAUUAGUAGAGCUCGUAUUGGCUAAUGGGAUUGGCACCUCGAUGUUGAAUUAAGGAUGAUAACUCUAAGGCGUAAAGGCUUUGGAAGUGGGUCUGUUCGACCUUUAAUACCUU